GUGAGGAAUCUUGCGCAAUGGGCGAAAGCCUGACGCAGCGACGCCGCGUGGAGGAUGAAGGUCUUCGGAUCGUAAACUCCUGUCGAGCGGGACGAAGCUUGGGAGGUUAACAGCCUUUCAAGUUGACGGUACCGCUGGAGGAAGCCCCGGCUAACUCCGUGCCAGCAGCCGCGGUAAUACGGAGGGGGCCAGCGUUGUUCGGAAUCAUUGGGCGUAAAGGGCGCCUAGGUGGCCAAGCAAGUCGGAUGUGAAAGCCCUCGGCUCAACCGGGGAAUUGCACCCGAGACUGCUUAGCUCGAGUCCUGGAGAGGGUAGCGGAAUUCCCAGUGUAGCGGUGAAAUGCGUAGAUACUGGGAGGAACACCGGUGGCGAAGGCGGCUACCUGGACAGGUACUGACACUGACGCGCGAAAGCGUGGGGAGCAAACAGGAUUAGAAACCCGAGUAGUCC
rnacentral:rRNA from 1 species